AAUCAACGCUGGCGGCGUGCCUCAGACAUGCAAGUCGAACGAUUAAAGCUCUCUUCGGAGAGUGUAUAGAGUGGCGCACGGGUGAGUAACACGUAAGUAAUCUACCUUUGAGUGGGGAAUAACAAUCGGAAACGAUUGCUAAUACCGCAUAAUGCAGCGGCAUCGCAAGAUGACAGUUGUUAAAGGAGCAAUCCGCUUAAAGAGGAGCUUGCGGCAGAUUAGCUAGUUGGUAAGGUAAUGGCUUACCAAGGCUACGAUCUGUAACCGGUCUAAGAGGACGGUCGGUCACACUGACACUGAAUGACGGGUCAGACUCCUACGGGAGGCAGCAGUCGGGAA
rnacentral:rRNA from 1 species